UGGGGAAUUUUGCACAAUGGAGGGAACUCUGAUGCAGCGACGCCGCGUGAACGAAGAAGGUUUUCGAAUCGUAAAGUUCUGUCCUGGGUGAAGAUAAUGACGGUAAUCCAGGAGGAAGCCCCGGCUAACUACGUGCCAGCAGCCGCGGUAAUACGUAGGGGGCGAGCGUUGUCCGGAAUUAUUGGGCGUAAAGGGUACGUAGGCGGUUAGAUAAGUUUGGUGUGAAAGCCCGAGGCUCAACCACGGGAAGCACUGAAAACUGUUUAACUUGAAUAGUGGAAGGGAUUGUGGAAUUCCUAGUGUAGCGGUGAAAUGCGUAGAGAUUAGGAAGAAUACCAAUGGCGAAAGCAACAAUCUGGACACAUAUUGACGCUGAGGUACGAAAGCGUGGGGAGCAAACAGG
rnacentral:rRNA from 1 species